AUGGAAGUAAGGAUCCUUUCCCCAGCUGAUCGACUAUGAUUAUACUGUGCGCAAAUGUGAUCCUUUAUCAUAGGAUUCAAGCCAGAAAUCUGAUCCAU
rfam:Triticum aestivum genome assembly, contig: Triticum_aestivum_CS42_TGACv1_scaffold_425110_5BS